rnacentral:rRNA from 1 species
GACGAACGUUGGCGGCGUGCUUAAUACAUGCAAGUCAACUGAAGCAGUGGUAGCAAUAUCGCUGUGGAGGUGGCGCACGGGUGAGUAACACGUUGGUAAUCUGCCUUCAGGUCUGGCAUAACUCCGGGAAACCGGGGCUAAUAGCAGAUGAUGCAGCGGCUCGACAUCGAGACAGUUGUUAAAGCUAUGGCGCCUGAAGAUGAGCCUGCGUCUGAUUAGCUAGUUGGCGGGGUAACGGCCCACCAAGGCAACGAUCAGUAGCUGGUCUGAGAGGAUGAUCAGCCACACUGGAACUGAGACACGGUCCAGACUCCUACGGGAGGCAGCAGUAAGGAAUAUUGCUCAAUGGGAGAAAUCCUGAAGCAGCAACGCCGCGUGAGGGACGAAGGGCUUUUGCUUGUAAACCUCUGUAGUGAGAGAAAAAAAUCCCAAUCUUUGGGACAUGAUGGUAUCUCAAAAGUAAGCCCCGGCUAACUACGUG